rnacentral:tRNA from 1 species
AGCCCUGAGGUGUCAUCACAUAAGGUUGCAAACCUUAAGUAGCAGGCUAACCCCUGCCGGGGCUU